ACAGGAGCGCACAUGCUUAUCUUUGUGAAACCAGGCUCCAUUCGCAGAGCUCACAUCUCAUCUCAAAUCACAACUCUGAGCUGCGUUACUGCUAAGUUUCCACCUAGCUCCGAGCAGAACCUGCUAGUUCAGGGAAGUUUCUGCACUUGCAGCAGACUUGGCCGUAUUUAUUAAAAUAAGCUACCACAACCUACAAGACAGACAACUCAAAAAACAUCCAUGUACCACAAACCCACUAGCUGAGAAUGAAUGAAUGGGGAAAAGACUGCAGCAAAAUAAGUAGGUUUUUUCCAACCUGAAUGCCCCAAAAGUAGUGCUAAGGAUCAGAUUCUUGGAGACACCGAAAUGUUCGUUAUCCCAAAGCUUUUUCAAAGUUUUGCAAUUUAUCCACUUUGCUAACGCGCUGAAAGCAACUGCUGUGACAGGCCAUCCCGAAGUUUGAGUUAAUCAGCUCCAUGCUAGAAGAUCAGAUCGCAAAUAACAGAGAACUCACAGAACAGUUUCACUCGCUGAAAGAGACAGAGUGCAAACACACACAAAGUAUGCACGGAAAGCAGCAAGGAAGUGACAAACGGAGCUGAAAGAGACCAGGUGACAAACCGAGCUGAAAGAGACCCGGUACACAAACGGAGCUGACACAGACCCGGUGACAAAUGGAUCUGAGCCCUCGGAAGGCAGGCACAGGACAGUGACUCGAUACCAGUGACAGCCCAGGGAACAAACGCCGCUUGUUCCCGGCUGGCCGCACUUCCGCCUCCUCCCCUCCCAUUCAAUCCCGGCGCUGCCGCUGCUCCCUCCAUCCCCAAGCCAUGCGGGCUCCAAAUACUUUCACCUCGGAGAGGGAAGCAGGCUGGAGAAAGCAUGUGAUCACACGCAGUCAAGAAUCUUGUUUUCCUUGGAGUGAAACUAUUCUUUUUACCUGUGAGAGGACAUGAAAGAAGUUUUCAUCUGAGGCAAAUGAAAAAUAUUCCACCCCCUUCCCACCACUAUCCACCACACCAACUCUGUAAAAAAUAAAAGGAAUGAGGCUGGAGAGAAACCAUCCUGAAAAGGAGAGAUAUGAGAUUUCACUUCGUUUUCUCCUUGGAGCAAAACUGAAGGUG